GCGCCUUCUCGUCCUCGCAGGGGCGGACACGCGCAUCAAGAACAUCCACGGCGAGACGCCGCUCGAUCUCGCGAGGCGGCA
rnacentral:tRNA from 1 species